AUUGAACGCUGGCGGCAGGCCUAACACAUGCCAGUCGAGCGGAUGAAGGGAGCUUGCUCCUGGAUUCAGCGGCGGACGGGUGAGUAAUGCCUAGGAAUCUGCCUGGUAGUGGGGGAUAACGUCCGGAAACGGGCGCUAAUACCGCAUACGUCCUGAGGGAGAAAGUGGGGGAUCUUCGGACCUCACGCUAUCAGAUGAGCCUAGGUCGGAUUAGCUAGUUGGUGGGGUAAAGGCCUACCAAGGCGACGAUCCGUAACUGGUCUGAAAGGAUGAUCAGUCACACUGGAACUGAGACACGGUCCAGACUCCUACGGGAGGCAGCAGUGGGGAAUAUUGGACAAUGGGCGAAAGCCUGAUCCAGCCAUGCCGCGUGUGUGAAGAAGGUCUUCGGAUUGUAAAGCACUUUAAGUUGGGAGGAAGGGCAGUAAGUUAAUACCUUGCUGUUUUGACGUUACCAACAGAAUAAGCACCGGCUAACUUCGUG
rnacentral:rRNA from 1 species